CCGGCGCACGGGGUGAGUAACACGUAUGGAACCUGCCCUAUGCAGGGGGAUAAGCGGAAGAAAUUCCGUCUAAUACCGCAUAACACCUUUAGGAGACAUCUUCUUGGGGUCAAAGGAGGCGACUCCGGCAUAGGAUGGCCAUGCGUCGCAUUAGCUAGUCGGCGGGGUAACGGCCCACCGAGGCGACGAUGCGUAGGGGUUCUGAGAGGAAGGUCCCCCACACUGGUACUGAGACACGGACCAGACUCCUACGGGAGGCAGCAG
rnacentral:rRNA from 1 species